rnacentral:rRNA from 1 species
AGCGAACGCUGGCGGCAGGCCUAACACAUGCAAGUCGAACGAACCUUUCGGGGUUAGUGGCGGACGGGUGAGUAACACGUGGGAACGUGCCUUUAGGUUCGGAAUAACUCAGGGAAACUUGUGCUAAUACCGAAUGUGCCCUUCGGGGGAAAGAUUUAUCGCCUUUAGAGCGGCCCGCGUCUGAUUAGCUAGUUGGUUGAGGUAAUGGCUCACCAAGGCGACGAUCAGUAGCUGGUCUGAGAGGAUGAUCAGCCACAUUGGGACUGAGACACGGCCCAAACACCGAGGGGGGGCAGAGGGGGGGAGUUUUGCGAAAGGGGAAAAGGCCGGACGAACCCAUCCCGGGGGAAGGAAAAGGUUCUUAGGAUGGAAAAUUUUUUUCCCGGGGGACGAAAAGGGGGGCACCGGGAAAAGAACCCCCGGCAACUUCGGUC